CCCUGCCAGCUCCUGGGCUAGGAUCCGUAAGACUACUAGUAUCUCAGAAUACCCGGAAUAGCGACAGGAAAAUGUUAGCUGUACAUAAUGUAUACAGGAUGGUAAAAUAGAUUUUGGGGUAUCUUAUUUUACAGUAUUCAUAUACUAUAUACUACAUACAUAUACUAUAACACCUAAGAACAUCUCUGUGACUUCACUUGCAACAUGUCAUAAAUGGAAAAGUAUUGAAUCUAAGCAGAACUAUUAGAAUUAUGUCAGAUGUUAGUAGAUUGUAAUGUGAUACUGUAACUUAAACAGCAAAUGAGAUCUUUGAUUACAAAUGUGAGGCUGUCAGGUAAGUGUACGGAGAAGAUCAGUUAUCUACACAUAUUCCUGCUCAGAUUAUUACUAAUAACAUCUCUGGAGUAACUGUGUGUAUCCAAGGACUCACUACUUGUUUCUGAAACAUUCCUAAUAUCCCAAUACCAAUGCCACAAAUACUAUCAACUAAGAAGCUGUUUUUUGUUUAAAAUUGCAAUAUUCACAAAAGACAGGAGUGAGUCUGAUUAGAUUAAAAGAAUAAUAACCAGUGAGAAUAAAAUAGUAAUCACACAUUAAACAGCAAUUUCCAAACACUUCUGUGCAAGAAGAUAAUUUGUUUGCACAUGUACUGUGUUAAUGUAAGACAGAACUGUACUUUAGCAAGUACUAAUGUCAAAGGAGGUUAAAGUCAAUGAUUACCAUAAUCACCCAUGGGCAGUUAUGUGAAAUCUCAUUUUAGUCUUAGUACUCUUAAAGAAAGAUACAUUUAUGGAUGCAUUUAUGUUUCUUUAUUUUUUAUUUAUUUAUUUCAGGUUGCCCAAAAAAAUAUGAAGCAAGAGAGGGCUGCAGAAACUUCUAAUAAAUGUAAAGAACAGGUGCAGACUUAUCAUACAUGGAUGCUCAAGGUCCUGAAGUAAAGAUAAGCAGCCAAAAGAAUUUGGAUGAUCUACAAACUUGAAUGGUGUUGGUAGUAGCUACAAUAAAACUGAAAAUUGAUGAACA
rnacentral:lncRNA from 1 species